GUGCUUGCUUCGGCAGCACCAAUACUAAAAUUGGAAUGAUACAGAGAAGAUUAGCAUGACCCCUGUGCAGGGAUAAAAUCUAUCUAUCUAUCUAUCUAUCUAUCUAU
rnacentral:snRNA from 1 species